AGUGAACGCUGGCGGUAGGCCUAACACAUGCAAGUCGAACGGCAGCACAGUAAGAGCUUGCUCUUACGGGUGGCGAGUGGCGGACGGGUGAGGUAUACAUCGGAAUCUACUUUUUCGUGGGGGUUAACGUAGGGAAACUUACGCUAAUACCGCAUACGACCUACGGGUGAAAGCAGUGGAUCUUCGCACCUUGCGCGUUUGAAUUCGCCGAUGUGGGAUUAGCUAGUUGGCGGGGUAAAGGCCCACCAAGGCGACGAUCCGUAGCUGGUCUGAGAGGAUGAUCAGCGACACUGGAAGGGAGACAGGGACCAGACUCCUACGGGAGGCAGCAGUGGGGAAUAUGGGACAAUGGGCGCAAGCAUGAUCCAGCCAGACCGCGUGGGUGAAGAAGGCCUUCGGGUUGUAAAGCCCUUUUGUUGGGAAAGAAAAGCAGCAGGUUAAUACCCCGCUGUUCUGACGGUACCCAAAGAAUAAGCACCGGCUAACUACGUG
rnacentral:rRNA from 1 species